AUUGAACGCUGGCGGCAGGCCUAACACAUGCAAGUCGAGCGAGAGGCGGACGGGUGAGCAAUGUAUGGGGACUGCCCGAUAGAGGGGGAUAACUACUGGAAACGGUGGCUAAUACCGUAUACUUUCGGCUAACCCAUGUGGCAUUAGCUAGUUGGUGGGGUAAAGGCUCACCUAGGCGACGAUCUCUAGCUGGUCUGAGAGGAUGAUCAGCCACACGGGGACUGAGACACGGCCCAGACGCCUACGGAGGCAGCAGUGGGGAAUAGUGCACAAUGGGCGCAAGCCUGAUGCAGCCAUGCCGCGUGUAUGAAGAAGGCCUUAGGGUUGUAAAGUACUUGUAGCGGGGAGGCGUUACCAGCAGAAGAAGCACCGGCUAACUCCGUGCCAGCAGCCGCGGUAAUUC
rnacentral:rRNA from 1 species